UACGUAGGGUGCAAGCGUUAAUCGGAAUUACUGGGCGUAAAGCGUGCGCAGGCGGUUUUGUAAGUCUGUCGUGAAAUCCCCGGGCUUAACCUGGGAAUUGCGAUGGAGACUGCAAGGCUGGAGUCUGACAGAGGGGGGUAGAAUUCCACGUGUAGCAGUGAAAUGCGUAGAGAUGUGGAGGAACACCGAUGGCGAAGGCAGCCCCCUGGGUCAAGACUGACGCUCAUGCACGAAAGCGUGGGGAGCAAACAGG
rnacentral:rRNA from 1 species